CAGAAAAAAACGUGGGGCCUGGGCUCCUCCCAGGAGAAACCAGGAGCUCAGCUGCUCCCCUGCAGGAGCCCGGGAUUGGGGUGCAGGCGAAGAGAAGCACCUUGGGUCUUGUAGACCUUUUCCCCUCCCGUGUCUUACUCUCCCUCUCCAAUUGGAGAACGGAGUAGUGGGAAGCAGUUUGAAAAUUGGUUUGUCCACAUCAACUUUCCCAUAGUUCAGGGCAGAGCCCCCUGCCCAGGCUGAGUAAGCCUAGGGCUCUAGUAAGCAAUGGGCAGGAACCCUGCGGGAGCAAACCCCUUCCUUUCUGGGGAGAAUGUGCCCCCACCACCACCAUGUCGUCAAGCUGGGGCUAGGAGUCCCCCUCCCAUCCCUCUAACAGCAGGCUGUGGGUCUCAGUUCCCAUCCUCCCCACCCUGGCUAGGUGUCCUCCACCCUGUAUCCUAUCAUGUGUCUGAGUGUGUGUGGGGGGGGUUCUGUACUAAUUUCCAUGGCCAGUGGCUUUUCCUUCCAUGCAUCACUCCCCCCCCCACAUGCCCAGGGGCCACCAGCCUGGCAUUACCACAUGCUGGGGUCAUUGGGGGUGGGGUGGGGCUCACACUGUCCUGUGGUCUUGAGAUUUUUAUUUUUGCAUAUGUAAUACAUCCUGUACAGGUAGCUAACUUUGUAAGCGUUGUGUAUCUUCCCAACCGCAUGGCUGCUGGUGUAAAUAAACUGCAUCU